CUGAAAUGCUACAGGUUUGAAGAUAUUCAUAUUUUUGUGAGGGUAGGCAAGAGAAGAAAGCGAAUCAUUCUUGACAGCAACUUUUUAUAAGGCCAGGCAGCAGAACGCAAGGGUGAAGAAGAACCAAUGCGAUUGUAUCAAUCCGAGGAAGUAAAAAGAGGAAUUCACUGCUGGCUGGGGUAGGUGGUAAGCAUUGUGAAAUGAUCUUUCAUA
rnacentral:lncRNA from 1 species